CUGAUGCAGCCAUGCCGCGUGUGUGAAGAACGCCUUAGGGUGGUAAAGCACUUUCAGCGAGGAGGAAGGGUUCAGUGUUAAUAGCACUGAACAUNGACGUUACUCGCAGAAGAAGCACCGGCUAACUCCGUGCCAGCAGCCGCGGUAAUACGGAGGGUGCAAGCGUUAAUCGGAAUUACUGGGCGUAAAGCGCACGCAGGCGGUUUGUUAAGUCAGAUGUGAAAUCCCCGAGCUUAACUUGGGAACUGCAUUUGAAACUGGCAAGCUAGAGUCUUGUAGAGGGGGGUAGAAUUCCAGGUGUAGCGGUGAAAUGCGUAGAGAUCUGGAGGAAUACCGGUGGCGAAGGCGGCCCCCUGGACAAAGACUGACGCUCAGGUGCGAAAGCGUGGGGAGCAAACAGGAUUAAAUUCCCUGGUAAUCCACGCUGUAAACGAUGUCGACUUGGAGGUUGUGCCCUUGAGGCGUGGCUUCCGGAGCUAACGCGUUAA
rnacentral:rRNA from 1 species